rnacentral:rRNA from 1 species
GACGAACGCUGGCGGCGUACCUAACACAUGCAAGUCGAACGGAAAGGCCCUGCUUUUGUGGGGUGCUCGAGUGGCGAACGGGUGAGUAACACGUGAGUAACCUGCCCUUGACUUUGGGAUAACUUCAGGAAACUGGGGCUAAUACCGGAUAGGAGCUACUGCUGCAUGGUGGGGGUUGGAAAGUUUCGGCGGUUGGGGAUGGACUCGCGGCUUAUCAGCUUGUUGGUGGGGUAGUGGCUUACCACGGCUUUGACGGGUAGCCGGCCUGAGAGGGUGACCGGCCACAUUGGGACUGAGAUACGGCCCAGACUCCUACGGGAGGCAGCAGUGGGGAAUAUUGCACAAUGGGCGGAAGCCUGAUGCAGCAACGCCGCGUGCGGGAUGACGGCCUUCGGGUUGUAAACCGCUUUCGCCUGUGACGAAGCGUGAGUGACGGUAAUGGGUAAAGAAGCACCGGCUAACUACGUGCCAGCCGCCGCCGUAA